CCCGUCCGCGUGGUUCGUUUGCGGGUACUGUGGUAAUUUCGCGCGAACUGUGCUUGUGCACACCUGGCGCCAUCCGCUGCUCCUACGAGAAUCGUGAUGGGUUCUGGCCGUUGAUUUGCGUUCACUCCUUUAUUACGCUGGUCUUCCAUCGUCAUCCUCAUUCCCUCUCUAACGUCACUCCUCUCUUUCUUUCUCUCUCUCGAACUUUACUCUCAUAUUCAACCAGCAACCAAACCCACUUCCACAAUCUCCUCUUCGUCGAUCUUCCGACCAACCUCCAAGAUCGAACCCCUCUCUCUCUCUCUCUCUCUCUCUCAGUCGACGAAUUGAGACCCUUAAACUUCCACAUUGCAAAAUCGACUACAGUCCGUCGUUCAUUGUCUCAGCUCUCGUUCGCGGAAUGUUUCAAGUUUUUUGCCGACUUUCAGGUAAUUCAGAUUUCCGGCUGAUUCAGUACAGAAUGCUUUUGGAAUCUUCUUCUGUGUGUUUGGUCAGAGAAGGGUUGUAAGACGUUGUUAAGAAAGGUGGACCAUCUAGACUUCUUUGGUUGUUUUGCUUUACGUUCGAACAGCUAUUCAUGGUCUUCGGGAAAGCGCUGCCAGCAGAACCAGUAGAUUACAACAAGAGAUGUCCACUAUGCAAGAUUCCAGUUCUGCUGUUAAAGCUGAAUGGAAGGGUUACGCGGAAAAAGCUGAAACUCACUAUCUUGAAGAUACUGCUGCAGUAGAAAGCGGAAAGAAGGACAUGGAAGAAGUCCUCCAGAGCUUUUUGCAAAAGGCAAGGAUGGGUGCACAGCAAUGGAGUUUGCAAAAGGCAAGGAUGGGUGCACAGCAAUGGAGUAAUGCUUAAGAUUCAUUGCUUGGUCUGGAGAAGAAUAAUGUUGCUUCCGUAGAGGAUAUUGUUAGGUCAAGUGACAUCUUACAAACAUUUAUUCUAAUCUCUCCAUUCCUUUUUUUUUUUGUUUUCUUUUGCUGGAAAUUGUUCGGGUUAAACAGAUGGACAAGGUAUUUGUCUUUGGGCGUAAUGGUUUUUCGAAAUGCGUUUUCACUAAUCAAAAGAUAUCAAGAAGCCGAAGUUUCCAAAAUCAUCUCAUGAAAGAUUUAUAUAGAAAAUAUAGACGAUUCCUAGAGACAUUAUGAAUAGCGAGUAGUUUAUUUGUUGUUGCGCUUCAUUUCAUUUUAUUUUUUGUCUAAACAUUUCUUCAAUUUUUAUCUUCAUACAGAGGGAAUCGACGCCAAUCAAAACCUACGUGCUCAGUUUUCUUCUGCCAUGUCUUCCACACUUGAAGAUGCGGACUUUGCAAGCAAAAAACUCCUGUCCUCAAUUGAUCGUAAGUGUCUGGUUUUUGAUGUACAGAGAUCCUACUUUAUUUGACAGCCAUAGGUCCUUCCAUGUGUAAAAUUCAUUCAACUGAGACAAAUGCUUGUAGAUUCAUUACAGCUAGAUCACGACGCAUGUGGAAAUCUAGACUCCAUGAUUCUUGUUGUGGAGAGUUGCGGGAACCAAAGGGCGGACACUACCAUAACAUUGUGGAGAUAAUGAAAAAUGCUGAAAAAUGUCUUCUAAGUGAAUAUGCGGUAAGAAUUUCCAAAUAUCAUUUGAAUAUCGGUAAAAAGUUGUUGAUAUUGUUGCAUACUUAUUGGUUGUGGACAGGUGGGAGUUACAACUGUUUGUAUCCAUUUCUCCUUGUCCUUUUGGGAGAAAAAAAUCAAAGAGAUGAAAGACCUUUACCUCCAAAAACCUCCUAAAUCUCAUUUUCGAUAACUUAUUAUCAUUUUCGACCAAAUGAUGUUGGUAAAAGAGUUCUCAUUGUCACAUCGGACAAGAACAUAUAUGCUGUAAAUUAACAAUUGUGAUUGCUUUCCAUUAGUCCUUUCUCCCAAAAGGACAAGGAAUGUGACUGUACUUAGUCACGGCUUCGGCAAUACUUUCUUCCUAAUGCUCCAAGUACGUGGAGAUUUUACUUACACAUGGACAUAGGACUUGGCCAAUUGAUUUUAGCAAGAUUUUAUAUAAUCUGCACACUUACUGUUUGCCUUCAGCCAUUUCAGACCAGCAGAGUGUACUAAUAUUUGGUCAUUUGUAUCUUCCUGCUCUGCAUCUGCGCUCGGAGCUUGAGCUUUGUCUCAAACAAACCUUUCGCAUAUUUGAUCUUGAGGAAAUGGUCAUCAAAAUGGCUCAUCGUACUUGAACAUGCUGGUAAAUGACUUACGCCUUGAUGUUGAAAUAUUUAUUCAGUUCUUGAUUACUCUUGACCUAGAUUCCUCGAUCACCUCCUGAUUGUCAUGUUACCCAGCGUAGAAUUCCCGGUGGUUGUUUUUCAUGCAGAUGAAGACACUGAGAGAAUCUAUGGUUGGUUUUCAUGUUAGCGUGCCGGGUAUAGGUUUUUGCUCUUGCAUUGGUAACAAUGUCUUGAUAGAAGCCACGAAGCUUUUUAACCCAUGCAAGUUAUGUAGAACUUUUGUAUGUUUACUCCUAGAAUCACUACUUAGAUAUGUAAUUGCAAAAUUUUUUUUGGUUCAUAUAUGUAUUUGUAAUAUAUUAAAGCUAUAUGAUUUAUGUA